rnacentral:misc_RNA from 1 species
GGUCUGUAUAUAACCAUUGGUGCCUGACCCUCUUGGGGUCUGUAACCCCAUUCCCUUAUACAUCUCCUAGUAGUUGGCUGCAACCCUUAACAAUUCUUUACAAAAUCCGAUGGCUCUAAUCAACCCUAACAAAAAUUCAAGAACAGUGCCGCUGCCUGAUGAAGAAGAUUAAAUCUGAUCAGGUGCCCUUAACUUGGCAGAGAAAAUGAGAUAAAAUUAAAGAGAUAGAAAUGAAGAGAAAAUAA